rnacentral:rRNA from 2 species
AAGCAGCUUGCUGCUUUGCUGACGAGUGGCGGACGGGUGAGUAAUGUCUGGGAAACUGCCUGAUGGAGGGGGAUAACUACUGGAAACGGUAGCUAAUACCGCAUAAUGUCGCAAGACCAAAGAGGGGGACCUUCGGGCCUCUUGCCAUCGGAUGUGCCCAGAUGGGAUUAGCUAGUAGGUGGGGUAAAGGCUCACCUAGGCGACGAUCCCUAGCUGGUCUGAGAGGAUGACCAGCCACACUGGAACUGAGACACGGUCCAGACUCCUACGGGAGGCAGCAGUGGGGAAUAUUGCACAAUGGGCGCAAGCCUGAUGCAGCCAUGCCGCGUGUAUGAAGAAGGCCUUCGGGUUGUAAAGUACUUUCAGCGGGGAGGAAGGGAGUAAAGUUAAUACCUUUGCUCAUUGACGUUACCCGCAGAAGAAGCACCGGCUAACUCCGUGCCAGCAGCCGCGGUAAUACGGAGGGUGCAAGCGUUAAUCGGAAUUACUGGGCGUAAAGCGCACGCAGGCGGUUUGUUAAGUCAGAUGUGAAAUCCCCGGGCUCAACCUGGGAACUGCAUCUGAUACUGGCAAGCUUGAGUCUCGUAGAGGGGGGUAGAAUUCCAGGUGUAGCGGUGAAAUGCGUAGAGAUCUGGAGGAAUACCGGUGGCGAAGGCGGCCCCCUGGACGAAGACUGACGCUCAGGUGCGAAAGCGUGGGGAGCAAACAGGAUUAGAUACCCUGGUAGUCCACGCCGUAAACGAUGUCGACUUGGAGGUUGUGCCCUUGAGGCGUGGCUUCCGGAGCUAACGCGUUAAGUCGACCGCCUGGGGAGUACGGCCGCAAGGUUAAAACUCAAAUGAAUUGACGGGGGCCCGCACAAGCGGUGGAGCAUGUGGUUUAAUUCGAUGCAACGCGAAGAACCUUACCUGGUCUUGACAUCCACGGAAGUUUUCAGAGAUGAGAAUGUGCCUUCGGGAACCGUGAGACAGGUGCUGCAUGGCUGUCGUCAGCUCGUGUUGUGAAAUGUUGGGUUAAGUCCCGCAACGAGCGCAACCCUUAUCCUUUGUUGCCAGCGGUCCGGCCGGGAACUCAAAGGAGACUGCCAGUGAUAAACUGGAGGAAGGUGGGGAUGACGUCAAGUCAUCAUGGCCCUUACGACCAGGGCUACACACGUGCUACAAUGGCGCAUACAAAGAGAAGCGAUCUCGCGAGAGCAAGCGGACCUCAUAAAGUGCGUCGUAGUCCGGAUUGGAGUCUGCAACUCGACUCCAUGAAGUCGGAAUCGCUAGUAAUCGUGGAUCAGAAUGCCACGGUGAAUACGUUCCCGGGCCUUGUACACACCGCCCGUCACACCAUGGGAGUGGGUUGCAAAAGAAGUAGGUAGCUUAACCUUCGGGAGGGCGCUUACCACUUUGUGAUUCAUGACUGGGGUGAAGUCGUAACAAGGUAACCGUAGGGGAACCUGCGGUUGGAUCACCU